rnacentral:rRNA from 1 species
CUACGUGCCAGCAGCCGCGGUAAUACGGAAGGUCCCGGCGUUAUCCGGAUUUAUUGGGUUUAAAGGGAGCGUAGGCCGUGGAUUAAGCGUGUUGUGAAAUGUAGACGCUCAACGUCUGACUUGCAGCGCGAACUGGUUCACUUGAGUGUGCGCAACGCAGGCGGAAUUCGUGGUGUAGCGGUGAAAUGCUUAGAUAUCACGAAGAACUCCGAUUGCGAAGGCAGCUUGCGGGAGCACAACUGACGCUGAAGCUCGAAAGUGCGGGUAUCAAACAGGAUUAGAUACCCUGGUAGUCCGCACGGUAAACGAUGGAUGCCCGUUCUUCGUUCUUUUGAAUGAGGGACCAAGCGAAAGCAUUAAGCAUCCCACCUGGGGAGUACGCCGGCAACGGUGAAACUCAAAGGAAUUGACGGGGGCCCGCACAAGCGGAGGAACAUGUGGUUUAAUUCGAUGAUACGCGAGGAACCUUACCCGGGCUCGAAUUGCAGAGGAAAGAUCCAGAGAUGG